GUUGAUCACAUGUUCUAUUUCGUUUCUGCACUCUUACAGUUUGGUUGGUCCAGCACCAGUUUUGGGCACAAUAGAAGCCCCCGGGGCACUUUAUUUCACUUUUAGCAAAAACAUCCAUUGUUUUUCUAGAGUGGUUGACCAUAUGGUAAAUAAAUUCCAAUCUCAAUCUAGAAAGUAAGAAAAAUAAAUGUAAUCACUUUUCACUGCAUACGGAUGGCUAAGUCCCAACUCCUUCAGUAAAUGUGCGCCUCACAGGAUC